GCCCGGCUAGCUCAGUCGGUAGAGCAUGAGACUUUAUCUCAGGGGUACGUGGGUUCGAGCCCCGCGUUGGGCG